UGGGGAAUAUUGGACAAUGGGCGCAAGCCUGAUCCAGCCAUGCCGCGUGUGUGAAGAAGGCCUGCGGGUUGUAAAGCACUUUAAGCCGGAAAGAAGGCGCCAAGGCGAACAGUCUUGGCGAUUGACGUUACCGGCAGAAUAAGCACCGGCUAACUCCGUGCCAGCAGCCGCGGUAAUACGGAGGGUGCAAGCGUUAAUCGGAAUUACUGGGCGUAAAGCGCGCGUAGGCGGUUGGUUAAGUCCGCUGUGAAAGCCCUGGGCUCAACCUGGGAAUGGCAGAGGAUACUGGCGAGCUAGAGUAUGGUAGAGGAGAGUGGAAUUUCCGGUGUAGCAGUGAAAUGCGUAGAGAUCGGAAGGAACACCAGUGGCGAAGGCGGCUCUCUGGACCAAUACUGACGCUGAGGUGCGAAAGCGUGGGGAGCAAACA
rnacentral:rRNA from 1 species